AGUGAACGCUGGCGGUAGGCCUAACACAUGCAAGUCGAACGGCAGCACAGUAAGAGCUUGCUCUUACGGGUGGCGAGUGGCGGACGGGUGAGGAAUACAUCGGAAUCUACUUUUUCGUGGGGGAUAACGUAGGGAAACUUACGCUAAUACCGCAUACGACCUACGGGUGAAAGCAGGGGAUCUUCGGACCUUGCGCGAUUGAAUGAGCCGAUGUCGGAUUAGCUAGUUGGCGGGGUAAAGGCCCACCAAGGCGACGAUCCGUAGCUGGUCUGAGAGGAUGAUCAGCCACACGGGAACGGGGACACGGUCCAGACUCCUACGGGAGGCAGCAGUGGGGAAUAUUGGACAAUGGGCGCAAGCCUGAUCCAGCCAUACCGCGUGGGUGAAGAAGGCCUUCGGGUUGUAAAGCCCUUUUGUUGGGAAAGAAAAGCAGCAGGUUAAUACCCCGCUGUUCUGACGGUACCCAAAGAAUAAGCACCGGCUAACUUCGUG
rnacentral:rRNA from 1 species